GACGAACGCUGGCGGCGCGCCUAACACAUGCAAGUCGAGCGAAGCGGCGAACGGGUGAGUAACGCGUGAGGAACCUGCCUCUCACAACGGGAUAGCCUCGGGAAACCGGGAUUAAUACCGUAUGGUGAGAGAUGGCCUCGCGUCUGAUUAGUUAGUUGGUGGGGUAACGGCCUACCCAGACGACGAUCAGUAACCGGCCUGGGAGGGUGAACGGUCACAUUGGAACUGAGAGCCGGUCAAAUCGCACACGGGGGGCAGCAGUGGGGAAUCUUGCCCAAGGGGGGGAACCCUGAUGAAGCGACGCCGGGGGGGCGAUGAAGGUUUUCGAAUCUAAAAGCUCUUUCCUAUGGGAAGCGGUACCAGAGGAGGACGCCCCGGCUAACUACGUGCCAGCAGCCGCGGUAAUUC
rnacentral:rRNA from 1 species